AUACAUGCAGUCGAACGCUUGCUUUCCUCCCGAGUGCUUGCACUCAAUUGGAAAGAGGAGUGGCGGACGGGUGAGUAACACGUGGGUAACCUACCCAUCAGAGGGGGAUAACACUUGGAAACAGGUGCUAAUACCGCAUAACAGUUUAUGCCGCAUGGCAUAAGAGUGAAAGGCGCUUUCGGGUGUCGCUGAUGGAUGGACCCGCGGUGCAUUAGCUAGUUGGUGAGGUAACGGCUCACCAAGGCCACGAUGCAUAGCCGACCUGAGAGGGUGAUCGGCCACACUGGGACUGAGACACGGCCCAGACUCCUACGGGAGGCAGCAGUAGGGAAUCUUCGGCAAUGGACGAAAGUCUGACCGAGCAACGCCGCGUGAGUGAAGAAGGUUUUCGGAUCGUAAAACUCUGUUGUUAGAGAAGAACAAGGACGUUAGUAACUGAACGUCCCCUGACGGUAUCUAACCAGAAAGCCACGGCUAACUACGUGCCAGCAGCCGCGGUAAUACGUAGGUGGCAAGCGUUGUCCGGAUUUAUUGGGCGUAAAGCGAGCGCAGGCGGUUUCUUAAGUCUGAUGUGAAAGCCCCCGGCUCAACCGGGGAGGGUCAUUGGAAACUGGGAGACUUGAGUGCA
rnacentral:rRNA from 1 species